UAAUACUCCUACGGGAGGCAGCAGUAGGGAAUCUUCCACAAUGGACGAAAGUCUGAUGGAGCAACGCCGCGUGAGUGAUGAAGGUUUUCGGAUCGUAAAACUCUGUUGUUAAAGAAGAACAAGUGUUAGAGUAACUGUUAACACUUUGACGGUAUUUAACCAGAAAGCCACGGCUAACUACGUGCCAGCAGCCGCGGUAAUA
rnacentral:rRNA from 1 species